ensembl:snoRNA small nucleolar RNA SNORA13
UGCCUUUACGUGUUACCCAUUCAUUGCUGUAUCCAGUGAAUGUGGUGUCAAAUAAGGCAUACAGUAACUCUUGGAUCGGCCUUCGUAAGGUUCUCCUCCGUGUGACCUUUUAUGAAGUUCUAUGCCAAGUACAGCA